UACGGGGGGAGCAAGCGUUGUUCGGAUUUACUGGGCGUAAAGGGCGCGUAGGCGGUCAGCACAAGUCAGUUGUGAAAUCUCCGGGCUUAACUCGGAAAGGUCAACUGAUACUGUGCGACUAGAGUGCGGAAGGGGCAACUGGAAUUCUCGGUGUAGCGGUGAAAUGCGUAGAUAUCGAGAGGAACACCUGCGGCGAAGGCGGGUUGCUGGGCCGACACUGACGCUGAUGCGCGAAAGCCAGGGGAUCGAACGGG
rnacentral:rRNA from 1 species